CUAUGGUGGCCCGGCCGUGGUGUUCGGGAAGACCGGUGACAGGCCCUCGUGGCCCGAGUCCGGAGCGGCCCUCGCCACUGUGAUCGGGGAGUUCCCGUUCCGUUCCGCGCGCCGCCACGGCGCGCGGAGCCACUGGCCGCAGCCCGCGGCCGGGAAGGCAGGGGCGGGCGCGCGCGAACCCGUAAGCCAGGAGACCGGCCACGGCAUCACGCGAUGA
rnacentral:ncRNA from 1 species